GAGAAAGGUAAAAGGUAGAGAGGUUUAAGGGAGCAAUUCCAUAGGGUUAGGCAUUACAGUCAAUAUCAGGGAUGAGCAAGAGCUCAGAAAUGGAAGAGCAAAGAGAUAUUUGUGGCUGGUAGAACUGGAGGAAUAUCCAGAGAUAAAGAGGGGUGAAAAGACCACAGAUAAAUUUGAAAGCACGGAUGAAAAUUUGAAGCUUUUCCAUAGUGUCAGACUGGGUGCCAACAUAGGUCACAGGGAUAAAUAAUAGGACUUAGUGUGCUUAAGCAUGUAGGCAGCAGAAGAGAUGACAAUUUGUUCUGUCAAAGUUUCCAAGUAUUAUGUGAAAAGAAAAUUGCUGCAACACAUGAAUAAAGCACAAAGAGGUGAGGUGAAUGAAACACAAGACUUCAGCACAGAACCUCACAUUUUGGCCUUCAGAACAGGAAACCAAAUCUUGCCAAACAAAGAUGACACAAAGCUGGGUGGAAGGGUGAGCUGUGAGGAAGAUGACGAGAUGUUGCAGUAUGAUUUCAACAGGCUGAGUGAGUGAGAACAUGCAUGGCAAAUGCAGUAUCAUAUCUGUACUAUUGGAUUGGCAGGGCUGCGCAUUUAGAAAACAAAUUCAAACAGACGGAGCUGAAGACUCUCCUCAAUGUUAACUGACCACAGCUUAAUGUCACUGAAUGCUUAUCAACACACUCGAACUGCAGGAAACACAAUGAAGGCAAUCUCCAUUUAAUUCUCUUUAGGUAUGCCUCUUCUGUUGCACAAAAGAAAGAAAAAAAUUGUAAUAAAUAAAACCACCUGAUAUGCAAUCCGAUUCAUAAGACACUCUGCAACAUAAUGCAGUUACGCCUUUUUACUAGAAUGUACAAUGCAAAUAUUUUAAAGGUUGUAUUUUGCUUAUAAGUACUUAUACAUAUUUAUGCCAUUACUAAUUUUGUUCAUCUUGUGAAACUGUUCAUGAGCAACAACAUUAUAGUUUUGAAAUCUUUGUUUCAUUUUGCUCUCCUCUAUCCCUGCUUUUUUUCACUUUGUGUUAUUUUUGUAAGAAUUCCAAAAUUACACUGUGACAGUUGAAAAAUAACAUCAAUUACUUCUUCAGUUGAAGUUUCU